rnacentral:lncRNA from 1 species
UGCCGUGUGUUUCCGCGGCGGCAAAUGGGGGGAUUGGGGCCUGUGGGAAAUCCGGCGGAGGCGGCGGUGCCGCACCGGGCAGCCGAGGUAGGGACGGGGCCUGUGGCGGUGGCCGCACCGGGCGGCGGCUCCUGCCUGCGCGACGACCUAAGGUGCGUAUUACACUCGUGCCGUCGGGCACUUGCCGCAUUCAUCCGCUCGUUCGUCUCUUUUCCUAGAUAUUCGGCGUCGAGAUCGCCAUUGCCGUUGUUGUGCGAGGUUUGUACUGUUGGUCGAGUCUAGUUUGUUUGUUGAUAGAUAGAGUAACCAAGCAACCAACCAUCCAACUGGAGGGCCGAAGGAUUUGUGAACAGAAAGCAAAGAAAACUUAAUUUGACUGUGUUUUCUAUUUGUGAAGUAUAGGGGAUUUAUAUAGCAAUGCAAGAGUGUUUCCCCUUUUUAUUUGAAAAAGAAAACGAGACAUACAAGUUACUCUUCUGAGUACUUUGCUACUGAAGGCGCCACUCCUGGACUUAUAUUGGUCUAGUGUAGUGUCCCAAAUAGCUUCACAAAAAUGUUUAAAUCCAAUCUACACACAUCCACUCUCAAGUCCCCAGAUGGCUUCACGAAAAUGUUUAAAUCCAAUAUACACACAUCCAUUCUUAAGUCACAACGACAUGGAGCAAGCAAAUGAUCAAACCAUCUCCCAGCAUAUGUAACAAAUAGCAAUUUCCUUUCACCGCCCAGAAAUGUGGCUUAUUUCUGAUACCCCACCGGUAUAUCCAGACUGAAAGGAGCUGCCCUCGUAGCUUGUUGUUGAAGCUCCAGAAAUCAUCAACUGGAACUGUCUUGGAAUCUCUGCAUCCAUGACGUUCUUCUUUCGAGGGGUUGAAGUUGCCGAUUGUCUCUCGCUUGAAAUCGGCAAGCACACCUUAAGCACGGAAACAACCUCGGUCAUGCUUGGCCUGUCAAUCGAUGCGUUUUCGAGGCAGUUCAUGGCGAGGUCUAUCACAGUCUGCAGGUGCGUGGCAUCAUACUGAUCCAACAGCUUCUUGUCCACAACAUCGUGAACGCUCCCAUUAGCAAUCUUUUGUCGCACCCAAUUUGGCAGGUGGACGGUUUGAGGGUCCAUGAAUACCGGGGGUUGACCAGUCACAAUCUCCAAGAGGACGAUUCCAAAACUGUAAACGUCUGUCUUAACAGUAAGCUGGAAAGUGGCAUGGUACUCAGGGUCAAGGUAACCAAGAGUGCCAGCAGCAACAGUAGAUAUAUGCGUGUGAGCAGCAUUAAAAGCCCGUGAAAGCCCAAAAUCAGAUAUCUUGGCCACCAGAUUCUUGUCCAGAAGGAUGUUGGGUGUCUUCACAUCUCUGUGAACUAUUGAUGGGGUGCAUGAUUCAUGAAGGUAUUCCAGACCUACAGUUUGUUGAAGCUCAUGGUUUAAACACAAUACACACACAAACAUAUGCACUAUAAAAGAAAGUUCAUGUGUAUUUCAAAAUAUUGACCUUGUGCAGCAUCAAGUGCAAUGUGAAGUCGCUCUUCCCAAUUCAAACUGUCAUAUCCUGCAUCAAAGUGUGCUACAUUAAUGGCAUUAUAGAAAUCCAUUCGAUAUGUGCAUGGUAGUGCAAAUACCACUUUAUUUCAUUUGGAAAAAAAUGAAGUUAUGAACGGACGAGUAUAUAUUGAAAAAGAAUCAUUGAACAGUUGGUGUACUAAAACUGCAAUUCAAUAUUUUUAUGCUAUAUAAUUAUAGCAGACACUGAAUUUUAAAACAGCGUUAGCUUGUCUUCUCCUUGAUAGAGCACAUUUUAUAAAUUUCAAUUAACAAGAAUACCAAUCUAUUGAGGGGAAAUUGAUCAUUUACAAAUGUACAUUUGAAUAUGUAUGUAACUCUUGUUCUUGUUUUAUUCCUCACUGGCAUUGAGCUAAGUACCUUUGAAUAAUGUUUAUAAUUUCUGAUAACUAUAACUUGGAGAAAAUGUAGCUUUAUGAAUGCAAUGAUUACAUUUGCCCUUUUUAUUAGUCCAUUGUCCAUAUAUAGUAUUGGUUGGUACCUAUAAUUGUGUUAACCAUACCUUUACAUUCUAUACUCACAUGCAUGCCGUGCAUAAUUUUGUCGAAAUAUCAAAACUAGGUGGGUGGUCCGCUAGCACCCGCAAAAAUGUCUAUUUUUACACAUGAUUACUUAAAAUUUGUUAAAUAGCCAUCUCGUUGUCUUAGGACUAUCAAAGAUCGAACCUUAUCAUCCUUGGGUUUCUACUUUUAUAGUUUUUAAAAGUCAAACCUGUUGCUACCUUUACUCCUUUGUCAACCCUUUUAUUUGCUUGCCCGAUCUACAUGGAUUCUAUUCAUCCUCCUUAAAACCUUUUAAAAUUGGACUUUUUAGUUUCUAAAAUUUAUUUCGUUUUUAUAAUUUUUAGAAGUCUCGUCAAACGCCACCAAUGCACUCUCUACGGCCUACCCGCUGCCUCCCCUUUUCAUUGUCAUUGGGAUUUUAAAAAUAAAAAAUAAUAUUGUUGGGGGUUCAUUUUUUUACUUUUUAGAAGUCACGCCCACUGCCCUGACUAUGCUGCUUAACAGCCUUCCCGUUAUCCCUCCUCUUAAUCGCUAUUGGGAUUCUAAAAUCGAAUCUAACCAUCUUUGGGGUUUCGUUUAUAGUUUUAGAUGUCCCAUCAACCACCACCAUCAUAUUUCUUACGGGCUUGAUGCUCCUUCGCUCUUUAUUGUCAUUUGCUACAAUUGUGUUCUAGAUGGAGUGAUUGACACUGUUCUUUCAAAAUUCAAUAUUUUUCAUAAAAUUUUCUGCUAUUUAUAAAUUUUAUUCAAACUUGAACUCUUAUUUUUAUUAUUCUAAUUUUCAUAAUUUAUUCUAUUUUUUAUUCCGAAUUUAGUUAGCAUCGUAUUGUAUUCUAUCUGUAGUGUCUUCCAAUAAUCAUUUUUAUUUAGAAAUUUAGUUAUUUCAAAAUUGUAUUCCUACUUGAACUCUCUUUUUUAUUUUUAUAAUUUUAGACAUUAUUCUUUUAUUUUAAAUUUUAAUUAAUAUCGUAUUGGGUUCUCUUUUUCCAAUAUUGCUUAUUUUAAUUCCGAAUUUUAUUUAUUUUUAAAUUGUAUUUCUUCUGAAACUCUCUUUUUUUCCUUUUUAUAAUAUCUGAAUUUAUUUUAGUUUUUAUUCUAAAUUUUAAUUAAUCUCCUAUUGGAUUUUAUAUGGACUGUUAUUCCAAUAUUCCUUAUUUUAAAUUGCGAAUUUCGGUUAUUUUUAAAUUGUAUUUCUACUUGAACUCUCUUGUUCUAAUUUUGGAAUUUAUUUUAUUUUUUAUUCCGAAUUUCAAUUUAACUCAUGUUGUAUUCUAGAUGGAUUAAUUGUUGUUUCGAUAUUUCUUCUUUUAUUUCAAAUUGUAUUCCUACUUGAACUUCUUUUUUCUUUUUUUAAUUUCAGAAUUUAUUUUAUUUUUUAUUACGAAUUUUAAUAAAUCUCGUAUUGGGUUCUUAUAUGCACUCUUUUUCCAAUAUUGAUUAUGUUUAUUUUCUAAUUUCAGUUAUUUCUAAAUUGUAUUCCUACGUGGACUCUCUUUUUCUUUUUUUUUCCUCCGAUUAAUGUGGGAAUUUCUAGCCUCCAUAGCUAUUGUGGUACUUCCUUUCAAAUUUUUUUUAACAAUAUAAUAGAUAUGUCCUCUUACAUGCUACGAUAGAAAAAUCUUGUUUAUUUAUUCUUUAUAUUUACGACCAUACAGGUUCAAGAAUUAGCUGUGAUUAACCGGUUGCAUAUGACAUGAGGUUCAAGUUGACACUCCGACAAUGGACAUCAAACCCUAACUAGUUUUAUCCUAAAGUUUCUCUCUUCUCCCUAGUGCCGAAUCACCUUUAGCUUGUUAUUCCUAAUUAAAGGGUUAUGAGCUAGACAUGUUUACUAUAUUUUUACUAAUGAGAAUUUUUAAAGUACACUGUUCCCAAUAAUUAGUGAAAACUGUUGAUGCCUAUGAGUUGUUCCCCAAUCUAAACCUUGUAUUAGCCAAUUUCUUUUCUGUUUGAACUGAUUUUAGGUUUGAAUGAUUCAGUUUGUUGAGUCAGAUGUACAGCUGGAUACUGUAAAAAAAUUAAAAUAGGAGUCAGUGAUCAUAACAGCAUGGAAUUCCAACCUGUAUUAUUAACUAGUUAAGUCAGUUGUACUUUUACAGAUAGAAAUUUAAAAAAAUGUAAAGAGGAAAAGGGUAAAACCUCCUCUUAAAAGCUGUUGAAGAUUUCCUCUAGGCAUGAAAUCAUAAACAAGUGCAAGGCACUUCUUGUUUUGGCAAUACCCUACCAAAGCGACAAGAUUCUUGUGAUGAACUUUUGACAAGGUUUGUACCUGCAGCAGGAGAUACCAUUUCAAACAAUGUAGAGUUGAGGUCAGUUGCAUUUCUUUCUUAAAUACUCCCUCCAUUUCACAAUUUAAGUCAUUCUAGCAUUUCCCACAUUCAUAUUGAUAUUAAUGAAUCUAUACAUAUAUCUAUCUAGAUUCAUUAACAUCAAUAUGAAUGUGAGAAAUGCUAGAAUGACUUACAUUGUGAAACGGAGGAAGUACUAGCUAAAUGCCUGUGCGUUGCGACAUAUAAAAGAAAUUAUUUUAUAAUAUUUCCUAAAAUAAAUAAAAAUAUAUUUUCCUUAAAAUGUGUUAUACAUCUUUUUUCUAUAGGGAAUAUUCACCUUGAUUUGAUUUUAUAUGUCGGUACCCAUUAAGAUUUGGUUGUUUCUUAAUAUUAAGAAGUUCAAGGAGUAAUUUGCAAAAUUUACAAUGGGAGUUGGUGGGGUGGCAAAUUCAUGGCCACCACCACUACCUCAUUUUAAAUGAGUAUAGAUAUAGACUAUGGAAAUUGCUUUAGAUGUCCUUCAAUCUACUUCGGAUUGAACUAAACAGCGCUUUGUCCUAAUUAGUUCUGUUGCAUACCUCAGGGAGAAAGUCUUUUGACUCUGCUAUGGAUGUCUCCACAAGAACCUUAACAGCUACUUCAUCAUUAUUUUCCAGUAUGCCAUGAUAAACAGUACCAAAACCUCCUUUUCCAAUGAUUGAUUGGAAAUUGUUAGUUAUGAGCUUCAGCUCUGCAUAUGUGAACCUUCUGAUGUCGAUAUGUAGGGGAGUCUCCUCUUCAUACAUAUCAUAAUCUUCUUCUUCUGAUUUUCUUGACUUCCCUGCAAAUUCCAGAAGAUGCAUUUUUCAUGGAAGUAAAUGUUUGGAACUGUUGUCUAUUGUUUUACACUUAUUGCAUUGGUUAAACAGGACUUAACCAAAAAGCACUUUCUUUUACCUUUCCAGCAUAACCUCCAGAAUAUGAACAGCACCACUAGGAGAGAUGUCACAGGAACUAACACACUGAUGAGCAAAAUACGUGUGCGUGUGUUCUUCUUAUUUCCACAGUAGCUAGCUCUGACUUUGGAGCAUAUGGGAUUGCCUUCUAGUCUAGUGAUUCAUUUACACAGCAGAUAAACAUGAACUAAAUCAGCCAAAGAAACACAAAAGUAAAAACACAGAGAUAGGUUAGAAAUAUCUUUAAAAUUAUUGCAAUGGACACCUGCUUUUUUCUAACAUGACCAACCUCCUUAUAUUACAAUUGUAAUCUAAAAAACUAAAUGUUUCUAAAGCAUAUGCAGUUAUUAAUAUUUUCACAUCUGCCCCUCAAGUAGUUUCGGAUUCAGAAGGUUUGCUUUCUAUGUGCAGAUGUCGUAUUUCCAUGUGAUGGUUAACCUUUAGUUGAUUUUGCCUUUUGAGCAGUUUUUUUUUUAUCAUCUUUUCUUCUAUUGAUAAGGAGCCAUGUUCAAGGAGAAGCCAAACCUUAGCUCAAGCAAACCGGCUUUGUAUCUUUGAAGAAUAGAAUCAGGGAUGGAUCCAUUGAGCUGGUUAUUAGACAAGUCACUGAAAAAACAGCACUUCAAAUCAUUCAUUCAUUUAAAUUUUAUAUUAGGCACUAAAGAUCCCAUCAAUUGCUGUAGAGACUUACAUAACAGUGAGGGAAUUUACUUGAUAGUCUGGAAUGGUGCCUGUCAGGUUGUUGUGUGAUAAAUCCCUGCAUGUUUUUAGAUGUUUAGGAUUGCAUCGAUGUCCACCCAAUUUCAUUUAGUUUGUGAAUGGUAGAUAGCACUUACAAUUUCUUCAGUGAUGACAUUUUCAUGAAUGAUAUUUCUAACUCUCCUUGCAGACCGCUGCCAGAUAGAUUUCUGCAUAGCAACUCGUUUUAACAUAGUAAUAAUAUCCACCAUCAUUUUUUUUUUCAAAACCAAAAUGUUUUGUUCUUACAUUUCAACAAUCCUUGGGUUCUGGCCACCAUUAGGGUAGGUGCAAGUCAAACCAUUCCAGAUGUACUCUCUUGGUGAGCAUGGAUCCCCGUUCCAGUUUUUGAUUACCAUGUACUUCUCUUUGAUUGUUUUCAUGGAGUCAACUAAGCAAAUGGUACAAACAACACAGAAUAGGUGUCAAUAUAUGAUGCUUCAGUCAGCUUGGUCUCAGGAUAAUCUACAUUAGCAUUGAUGUGUUUACUGUAUGUUAUGCAACAGGUUCCUUACAAAUUGGAAUGAGUAAUAGUGAAGCCAAUUGACGUACCAUCACUUGAAGCAGUGGUGAAG